UACGUAGGGAGCAAGCGUUGUCCGGAAUCAUUGGGCGUAAAGAGCGUGUAGGCGGCCCGGUAAGUCCGCCGUGAAAGUCCAGGGCUCAACCCUGGAAUGCCGGUGGAAACUGCCGGGCUGGAGUCCGGAAGAGGCGAGUGGAAUUCCUGGUGUAGCGGUGAAAUGCGCAGAUAUCAGGAGGAACACCAAUUGCGAAGGCAGCUCGCUGGGACGUUACUGACGCUGAGACGCGAAAGCGUGGGGAGCAAACAGG
rnacentral:rRNA from 1 species